rnacentral:lncRNA from 1 species
GCCUUGAUAACAAAAUUAGCUUUUAGAGGAAUGAAAGCCAUAGAGUUACAUUAGGAAUCUUAGAAAUCAAGGGUAGAGGUGAAGCCGCCAUCCUAUAAGCUACCACUCAAUUGUAUAAGAGUGGCUUGGUUCUCCAAGCCCUCUCUCUCUCCUCUUUUGGUGAAGAGUGAAGCCAUGCCAAAUUUUGGCCCUAAACCUUAAUCAUAAUUUUAUUUUUGAUUUUUGAAUUUCAUUAUGAACUUUGUGGUUAUGUGUGCAUAGAUCUUAAGUAGUUAAUGAUGGUCAUUGGGUUUUAAGACAUAUUUUAUUGUGGUAGAUAGCUCCAUCAGCCUGUCAAAUAUUCCAAGGAUUCAAAAGCCUUGGAUUUCCCUCAACCAAUCAUUCAAUUUUUUGAAUUUCAAUGUGAAAUUUUUGUGGUUGUAAAUUUUGAUAUUAGCUUUCUAAAAAAGUAAGAG